AAUGGUUACAUUUGCGAAAGAGAGGAAGAGUUCUUUUCCUUCCUGAUUAUUUCUGUUUUUGAGAUCUUCUAUAACAUGUAUUAAUUCGUUAAACUCAGUAAAAGUUAUCUCAAAAAAGAGCUCCCGUUAGGGCAUCAUUUGAGAACCAACACAGCCACAGAAUGACAGUAGGGACAUUGUCAAAACUGAGAUUUAAGAUACAUUGUUUCUAAUUCCUGUUCUAGGAGCUCACUGCAGAACUUUGGCCUUUCAGACAACUCUCUGAGCAGGUGAUGAGGAGACCUUAACGCAGAAAGUGUCCCAGGCUUGCAGCCUCCUCUGACUGAGGUCUCUGGCAGGAACUAACGUUUGAGGCUGUCCUCCCUCACUCUCAUGGGCUCCCUCUCCCUGUUGUGUGUUCUCCUGUUUCAAGGUGGAGGCACCCAUUUUCUGGGGAAAUAGAGGUGAAAAUAAUUGACCGGAUUUUGUUGCCUUCUGUUCAGCAGUCCAAACGGAACUUGGAGCUUGCUGUGAGGUACUAAGGGCUUAGCUCUGGCUUUAUGAUUUUCAAGCAUGCUCCUACUCGCAUGAGAUCUACCUCAGAAUCGGCUGGAUCCAGUAACACUUUCUUUUAAGAACUGAAUUUAUUUUGCACCUUCUCUUACACGGAGGAAACCAGGUUUACUGGUUGAAUAUGGUGGUUCAUUCUUAGAAUGCAGUCACUUUACACAGUAAAUAUACAUAGUUAAAUGGAGCAGUUCAAUAUAAAUUGAGGCAAAAGAGGCUGUGGUUGGUUAAAAGAACUUAUUUCAUCCUGCAAUGCUGAAGACUGGAAGGGUAGGAAUUCUUUCUUAAAGAAGUCCCCACCCCCCUCCUCAGCCCAGCCUCCGCUUUCUCUAUUGGAGCUCUUCUCAUUUGAGUGUAUGUGCCGCGAUUAUUUUUAGGUUCCUUCAGUCACAGGUUUUCUUUUUCUCUUUUUCCUAAUACACCCAACUUUUGGAUGAUA